rnacentral:sRNA from 1 species
UCGAACUGCACGGCCGGCAGCGGAGCCGCU